GGUCCAAUCGUAUAGUGGCUUAUUAUGCUGUCUUAGGGCGAUUCGCCGAAGGUGGCGCACAGACCGUAUGACAGAGGUCCUGAGUUCGAUUCUCAGUUGGACCC
rnacentral:tRNA from 1 species